ACGAUAUCACUCCUACGGGAGGCAGCAGUGGGGAAUAUUGCACAAUGGGGGAAACCCUGAUGCAGCCAUGCCGCGUGUGUGAAGAAGGCCUUAGGGUUGUAAAGCACUUUCAGUUGUGAGGAAAGGUUAGUCGCUAAUAUGGCUAGCUGUGACGUUAGCAACAGAAGAAGCACCGGCUAACUCCGUGCCAGCAGCCGCGGUAAUACGGAGGGUGCGAGCGUUAAUCGGAAUUACUGGGCGUAAAGCGCGUGUAGGUGGCUUGUUAAGCCAGAUGUGAAAGCCCCGGGCUCAACCUGGGAACUGCAUUUGGAACUGGCAGGCUAGAGUUUUGUAGAGGGUGGUAGAAUUUCAGGUGUAGCGGUGAAAUGCGUAGAGAUCUGAAGGAAUACCGGUGGCGAAGGCGGCCCCCUGGACAAAGACUGACGCUCAGGCACGAAAGCGUGGGGAGCAAACAGGAUUAGAUACCCUGGUAG
rnacentral:rRNA from 1 species